rnacentral:lncRNA from 1 species
CUGCUUUCAUUGAUUCUAUGUGGAACUCUGCCUAUGCCUUUCACUGUCCAGAUUUUGUGAGAACUAUGCAACUCUGUGUUUGUCCUUGUGAGUCUUUGUCGUUUGUCUGUUGAGUCUGUGUCACUUCCCGAUGUCCUCAGUACUGUUCCCUGUUUUGCGUCUUGAUUUUGCCCAGGAGUGCAAAAGACUAAGUGUGGUCUAUUUUGAUGAGUCAAUAUUUUAUACCAUUAACUUAGUUUUUCG